GACGAACGCUGGCGGCGUGCCUAACACAUGCAAGUCGAACGAGGUCCAAGGGAGCUUACUCCCUGAAGACCUAGUGGCGAACGGGUGAGUAACACGUGAGAAACCUACCCUCGAGUGGGGAAUAACAAGGGGAAACCCGGGCUAAUACCGCAUACGCCCCUCUGGUCGCAUGGCCGGCGGAGGAAAGUUUUUCGCUCAAGGAGGGGCUCGCGGCCUAUCAGCUUGUUGGCGGGGUAACGGCCCACCAAGGCUACGACGGGUAGCUGGUUUGAGAGAACGAUCAGCCACACUGGGACUGAGACACGGCCCAGACUCCUACGGGAGGCAGCAGUGGGGAAUCUUGCGCAAUGGGCGAAAGCCUGACGCAGCAACGCCGCGUGCGGGAUGACGGCCUUCGUGGUUGUAAACCGCUUUCAGCAGGGACGAAAAUGACGGUACCUGCAGAAGAAGCUCCGGCUAACUACGUGCCAGCCGCCGCGAAAA
rnacentral:rRNA from 1 species